rnacentral:rRNA from 1 species
CUUGCUGACAUGAGUAGCGAUAAAGGGGGUGAAAGGCCCCCUCGCCGUAAGCCCAAGGUUUCCUACGCAACGUUCAUCGGCGUAGGGUGAGUCGGCCCCUAAGGCGAGGCAGAAAUGCGUAGCUGAUGGGAAGCAGGUUAAUAUUCCUGCACCAUUGUUAAAUGCGAUGGGGGGACGGAUCGCGGAAGGUUGUCCGGGUGUUGGAAGUCCCGGUCGCUGCGUUGGAGAAGGCACUCAGGCAAAUCCGGGUGCGUAAUUCAAGGGCGUGGCGCCAUUCACUUCGGUGAAGAAGCAAUCGGAAGUGGUUCCAAGAAAAGCCUCUAAGCUUCAGUUUAACAGGACCGUACCGCAAACCGACACAGGUGGGCGAGAUGAGUAUUCUAAGGCGCUUGAGAGAACUCGGGAGAAGGAACUCGGCAAAUUGGUACCGUAACUUCGGGAUAAGGUACGCCCCUGUAGCCUGACUGGCCUGCGCCAGAAGGGUGAAGGGGUUGCAAUAAACUGGUGGCUGCGACUGUUUAAUAAAAACACAGCACUCUGCAAACACGAAAGUGGACGUAUAGGGUGUGACGCCUGCCCGGUGCCGGAAGAUUAAAUGAUGGGGUGCAAGCUCUUGAUUGAAGUCCCGGUAAACGGCGGCCGUAACUAUAACGGUCCUAAGGUAGCGAAAUUCCUUGUCGGGUAAGUUCCGACCUGCACGAAUGGCGUAACGAUGGCCACACUGUCUCCUCCCGAGACUCAGCGAAGUUGAAGUGUUUGUGAUGAUGCAAUCUCCCCGCGGCUAGACGGAAAGACCCCAUGAACCUUUACUGUAGCUUUGCAUUGGACUUUGAACCGGUCUGUGUAGGAUAGGUGGGAGGCUUUGAAGCGUGGACGCCAGUCUGCGUGGAGCCAACCUUGAAAUACCACCCUGGUUUGUUUGAGGUUCUAACCUUGGUCCGUAAUCCGGAUCGGGGACAGUGCAUGGUAGGCAGUUUGACUGGGGCGGUCUCCUCCCAAAGUGUAACGGAGGAGUACGAAGGUACGCUAGGUACGGUCGGAAAUCGUGCUGAUAGUGCAAUGGCAUAAGCGUGCUUAACUGCGAGACCGACAAGUCGAGCAGGUGCGAAAGCAGGUCAUAGUGAUCCGGUGGUUCUGUAUGGAAGGGCCAUCGCUCAACGGAUAAAAGGUACUCUGGGGAUAACAGGCUGAUACCGCCCAAGAGUUCAUAUCGACGGCGGUGUUUGGCACCUCGAUGUCGGCUCAUCUCAUCCUGGGGCUGUAGCCGGUCCCAAGGGUAUGGCUGUUCGCCAUUUAAAGAGGUACGUGAGCUGGGUUUAAAACGUCGUGAGACAGUUUGGUCCCUAUCUGCCGUGGGCGCUGGAUAUUUGAAGGGGGCUGCUCCUAGUACGAGAGGACCGGAGUGGACGAACCUCUGGUGUACCGGUUGUCACGCCAGUGGCAUCGCCGGGUAGCUAUGUUCGGAAGAGAUAACCGCUGAAAGCAUCUAAGCGGGAAACUCGCCUUAAGAUGAGAUAUCCCCGGGGCUUCGAGCCCCUUGAAGGUUCGUUCGAGACCAGGACGUUGAUAGGUCAGGUGUGGAAGCGCAGUAAUGCGUUAAGCUAACUGAUACUAAUUGCCCGUAAGGCUAAA